UAGGCCGUUUUAUUAAAGGGGUUUUAUAAUUUAAGAAGGUAAAUGGAAUUUUUUUGUAACGGUGGAAUGUGUAAAUAGAAAAAAGAACCUUACACGUGAAGACUAUUUAUUUUUGAGAUUAUAAUGUGAUGGCUAAAACACGAGAGUAUGGGGAGCAAACAGGAUUAGGGACCCUGGUAGUCUAUACUGUAAAUAAUGAAAAAGAUGUGAAGCAAUCCUAAAAAGUCAGAAAUUUUCCGCUUGAGUAGUACGACCGCAAGGUUAAAAUUCAAAAAACUUGGCUGUUCACUGUUUUAAUUAGAGGAGCGUGUCGUUUAAUUCGAUAGUCCGCGAGAGACCUUACCCAAACUUGAAUCCUUUAUUGACAGGUAU
rnacentral:rRNA from 1 species